UACGGAGGGUGCGAGCGUUAAUCGGAAUUACUGGGCGUAAAGGGCGCGUAGGCGGCCCGCUAAGUCGAACGUGAAAUCCCCGAGCUCAACUCGGGAACUGCGUCCGAUACUGGCGGGCUUGAAUCCGGGAGAGGGAUGCGGAAUUCCAGGUGUAGCGGUGAAAUGCGUAGAUAUCUGGAGGAACACCGGUGGCGAAGGCGGCAUCCUGGACCGGCAUUGACGCUGAGGCGCGAAAGCGUGGGGAGCAAACAGG
rnacentral:rRNA from 1 species